AGAAACCCUUGUGGGUACAGAUAGAGGAAUGCCAUGACCUCUUAACUUUGCUUGGGAUUUUGAGAGUUAAUUAAAAAUCUGCAAAGGCCAAUAAUACUGUUUCUGUGUUUCAUAAGCCCAUUUGUGAGACUGAUUCAGUUUUCUCCCUUUUGUCUCUCAGGGAUCGCAGGUGGGGCACUGCUGCUUCUCCUGGUUACCAUCAUUAUCUCGAGGAUUAUGUCUAAGCAGAAUGCAGGCUAUUACUAUACACAUGAAAACUGCAAGUACCGGAUGCCUUUGGCCCACAUAACUGAACAAAAAAAUUCAUUUGCACCAUAGCAGGCAGGAAACCACUUCUCCACGCAAAAUGCACACCAUGAGGAGAACAUGGAAGCAUUUCCUUCACCUUCUUUGUGGGUAAUUUACAUUCUUGCAAUGAAGUUCUCUAGGGGAAAACGCAAAGCCACAGCAUAUACCUGACGACGUUAUGCAGCUGCUUCCUUUAGAUCCUUAUAGCAGUUUAGUUCAUGAAGUUCAACUUUACACAGCACCAGACUGUAGCUUUUAGGCUGCCCUCCUGCUGUUUGUCCACGAAAACGUCUUGCGUGCAGACUUCUGAGAUGAACAACCACCCUGCAGCAUCAAGGAUGCUCACUCCUCAGAUUAUGCUCUGGCCUUCUUUCCCUUUCAUGGAACUUCUUGUUUCUGACCAGUUGACUAAGCAAUCUAACACCAGGAAGAGGAGAUGACGCAAGUGCUGCUGAGCCUGCCUUGAUAAGAAAUUGCAAGCACAAAACCCUGAACUUCCUUCUGAGCAUGCUUCAUUAACUGCCACAGCGGUCUUCUUGAAAAGUUUCGGAAGGCUGUGUGUGAAAGGAACCUUAAUUUUGAGGAGUUGCUGGAUUUUAUAAAAGGGCUUCAUGACUGCCAACCCUGUAUCUCUUUCCUUUUACUUGCUCUUCAAAGACACAGCACUUAAUGUUCUUCACCUUAUAGUAGAGAUACAAUCAACUUCUUUUACAACCCCUUGUAAUUUUUAACCCCUCUAAAAAUAACUCAGAUGAAAUUUUGCUUUCAAUAUUUAAUUUUUUCUUCUUGGAUCCCUUACUUUAAAAUGACUUCAUGGGCGUGAAACUACAGAUUAAACUUUUUA